UCACUCUCAGUGUGCAUGUCUCCUUUCUUUCUUUCUUUCUUUCUUUCUUUGUGUAUCAUCUCUAACACUCUUGCCCUACCCUUCUUAAACAAAAACCUCUCUUCGAUCAUCUAUUUAUAUCUUACUUAAGCACAAUAUAUUUUUUUUCCUACUAUUGUGUAUAAAUCUAUAUGAUCUUUAGCCUAAGCAUAAUAGCAUUCUUCUCUCUCUCUCUCUCUCAUAUUUCUUUUUGCAUAACAGAAAUUCCUAAAAGAAAAGAAGAUAUCAAGAGUGUAAAAAGCUCAUUUAGAGGCAGAGAAUGCAAAUAUUUAAUGAGGUUGCUCAAACUCAAACAUGUAUAUCAUCCAAGGUUAUUGCACCAUGAAGGCUAUUCCAUGAUGGAGAAAUGAAAAUCUUAAUUAGCACUUUCUGGUAUAUAUUGAGUAAGCAAUUGAAAAUUAUUUUUUAUUUAUUUCAUUCUGGUGAUAAAUUUUCUUGAAUUAUUUAGAAGAAAAUUAGCCUUCCAAUUAAUCAUACUUCAUCCAACUAGGGCUUUAUAUGUGUGUGUGUGUGGAAUAUGCUUUGGCUUCCCAGAGACCCCAGCUAUUUGUGUUGUCUGUUAACCUUUACAAGAAACUUUGAAGGAAGAGGCAAAGAAAUGUGAAUGAACUAUACAUAGAUAAAAAUAUAUUCCUACAACUGUAAGUAAUUUGUAGUUAUCUAAGUUUAUAAUGAAUAGAAAUUCAAAUAUAAAGUAUCAGACUAAUAAAACACACAUGCAUUCCAUUACUGAGUUACUGGUGA